rnacentral:rRNA from 3 species
UCUUGUAGAGGGGGGUAGAAUUCCAGGUGUAGCGGUGAAAUGCGUAGAGAUCUGGAGGAAUACCGGUGGCGAAGGCGGCCCCCUGGACAAAGACUGACGCUCAGGUGCGAAAGCGUGGGGAGCAAACAGGAUUAGAUACCCUGGUAGUCCACGCCGUAAACGAUGUCUACUUGGAGGUUGUGCCCUUGAGGCGUGGCUUCCGGAGCUAACGCGUUAAGUAGACCGCCUGGGGAGUACGGCCGCAAGGUUAAAACUCAAAUGAAUUGACGGGGGCCCGCACAAGCGGUGGAGCAUGUGGUUUAAUUCGAUGCAACGCGAAGAACC